rnacentral:rRNA from 1 species
GACGAACGCUGGCGGCGUGCUUAACACAUGCAAGUCGAACGGAAAGGCCCUGCUUUUGUGGGGUGCUCGAGUGGCGAACGGGUGAGUAACACGUGAGUAACCUGCCCUUGACUUUGGGAUAACUUCAGGAAACUGGGGCUAAUACCGGAUAGGAGCUCCUGCUGCAUGGUGGGGGUUGGAAAGUUUCGGCGGGUGGGGAUGGACUCGCGGCUUAUCAGCUUGUUGGUGGGGUAGUGGCUUACCAAGGCUUUGACGGGUAGCCGGCCUGAGAGGGUGACCGGCCACAUUGGGACUGAGAUACGGCCCAGACUCCUACGGGAGGCAGCAGUGGGGAAUAUUACACAAUGAGCGGAAGCCGGAUGCAGCAACGCCGCGUGCGGGAUGACGGCCUUCGGGUUGUAAACCGCUUUCGCCUGUGACGAAGCGUGAGUGACGGUAAUGGGUAAAGAAGCACCGGCUAACUACGUG